rnacentral:rRNA from 1 species
CGUAGGUGGCAAGCGUUGUCCGGAAUUAUUGGGCGUAAAGCGCGCGCAGGCGGUUCCUUAAGUCUGAUGUGAAAGCCCCCGGCUCAACCGGGGAAGGUCAUUGGAAACUGGGGAACUUGAGUGCAGAAGAGAAGAGCGGAAUUCCACGUGUAGCGGUGAAAUGCGUGGAGAUGUGGAGGAACACCAGUGGCGAAGGCGGCUCUUUGGUCUGUAACUGACGCUGAGGCGCGAAAGCGUGGGGGAGCAAACAGGAUUAGAUACCCUGGUAGUCCACGCCGUAAACGAUGAGUGCUAAGUGUUAGAGGGUUUCCGCCCUUUAGUGCUGCAGCUAACGCAUUAAGCACUCCGCCUGGGGAUACGGCCGCAAGGCUG